rnacentral:rRNA from 1 species
ACGGCACUUAGUAGCAGGGAGACCUUAGUGGUAGAUUACACCCGAGGACUUUUUUUUUGCGCGAGGAAAGAUCAAGUGGGCCCACGACUUAUCGGCCGCCGGGGGGGCGCCUCUGCCCCCCGGGCCCGUGCCCGCCGGAGACCCCAACACGAACACUGUCUGAAAGCGUGCAGUCUGAGUUGAUUGAAUGCAAUCAGUUAAAACUUUCAACAAUGGAUCUCUUGGUUCCGGCAUCGAUGAAGAACGCAGCGAAAUGCGAUAACUAAUGUGAAUUGCAGAAUUCAGUGAAUCAUCGAGUCUUUGAACGCACAUUGCGCCCCCUGGUAUUCCGGGGGGCAUGCCUGUCCGAGCGUCAUUGCUGCCCUCAAGCCCGGCUUGUGUGUUGGGUCGCCGUCCCCCUCUCCGGGGGGACGGGCCCGAAAGGCAGCGGCGGCACCGCGUCCGAUCCUCGAGCGUAUGGGGCUUUGUCACAUGCUCUGUAGGAUUGGCCGGCGCCUGCCGACGUUUUCCAACCAUUCUUUCCAGGUUGACCUCGGAUCAGGUAGGGAUACCCGCUGAACUUAAGCAUAUCAAUAAGNCGGAGGAA